GUUUAUAUAUUUAUAUAUAUAUGGCCCCCUAUUUCUAUUUAUAUACGUUGUCCUGCGGUGGGAAUGAAGGCAAGAGAACUGGAUUUUCAUGUGGUGUUUGUUGAGCUCUUCAUAUUUCAUUUGGGUUUAACAAAGUGUUUCUUACAGAGUUUAUUGGCAUUCUGUCCACCUCCACCUCAAGAUGAAUAACUCUCUCUCUCUCUCUCUCUCUCUCUCUCUCUCUCUCUCGAUAGCUACAAUGGAGGUGGGCAUCCUGCCAACCGAGCUCUGUUGGUUUCUCUUUGUAAAACCUUUGUGAUUAUGUUUCAGUAUGGCUCCCCUUUUCACCGCUUUCAUUCUAUUUUUCUCAAUCAAGGUGGUAAUUAGGAGGUUUUCUGGUAUGUCAAAGUGGUGGUGCAAUCUAUGGACAUGAAAGAGAUGUAUGUUCUAUGAGAGUAGUCCAUGAAUGAUGGUAGUUGAGCAUGGUUGGCCCAAUUGUUUCAUUUAAUCUUCUUGCACCACCCCUCUUCCACUUGUAUCAAUCAGUCAUUGUAGUGGUCCCAUCACCAUACAUAGUUUUUCUUAUAUGCAUUGUUGUGUUCAUUACUCUUUGACCACCAGUGCUCAUUGUUCACUGCUUCAUUAAAGUCUGCGUCUGGUUUGGUCCGUUGCUGCCCAGUUGCCCUCUCCAUGACAUCAUGACGAAGAGGGGGCGGUGGUGGAGGUAGUAGUGGUGGUAGCAGUAAUGGUCCCAUAAUUACUACCCACUUUCCAACUUGAGUGGAGUAGAGGCCACACCAGCGGAUCCCAUGUCUUCUUCAAACGUCAACUGAGGAAAACGAAAUACAUAUAGAAGAAUCAAUAAUAUUUGGGGACCACGAUCAUAUGUUAUGUCGGAUUAUAUAAUGAUGAUUUUAUCUUAAGUAAUUAUCUACUCUUUAUUUUGAA